UACCUCGUUGACCGGAAGGGCUUCUUUCCAGUCGACGAGGUACAUGUACCUCGUCGGCCGGAAGGAUUUCCUUCCAGCCGAAGAUCCUUUGGGUCAACGAGGCACAUGUACCUCGUCGACUGGAAGGAAGCCCUUCCAGUCAGCGAGGUA
rnacentral:miRNA from 1 species